GGAACCAAUCAAAAAAAAAAAAAGAAAAAGAAAAAAAAAAAAAAAAAAAAAAAACAGGACAAUGAUAUCAUCGUUACAAAAAGCCUUCCAAGAAAGUGGCCGAGAAGUAUUUUAAAGAUGGAGCAAUAUCCGAAAGACAAAAACAAAAAAAUCAAGAAACAGAGCAGAAUUUAGAGCGUUGAGUGUGAAAUUGACCUGCUCCCUGGGGCAGCUACCACACUAAAAGGGCAACCCCCUUCCAGCAAACUGAGCUGUUUACUUCCUUGAAUCUUGACUCAACCCCACCAUGGAAAGACCGCUGUCAACCCCAAAGCAUCUGAUUCAAAGUGCCUACACAGGGAUAACCAUUUAUCCUUAUAAGGCAGUGCAAAUCAAAAUAACACAAAGAUAUUUAACACUUAACUUGAAGUAGUGCUCAUCAUUCACUAAGCUAUUGUUGGUACGUGUUGAACGAUUUUCGCGGGAAAUAAGAAAUUUUCUGACCAGUACUGCAAUCUAAAGUGAAAUAAUUUUCCAUUAAUUAAACCUCCAGCCUGCAUAGCAUUGUUUAUGUGUGUCUACUAAAGCUGAGUCAAUGCAUUAAUUAAUUAAUUAAUUGGUCUUUCAACAGAAAGGUUUAAAGCAAAAAUAUAUUACAUUUACUGUUUCCAAGUGGAGAUUUUAAUGGGAUAAUGACCUGCAUGCCCCAAGGCUUUGGAAUUUUUUUCCCCAGGUAAAACAACUAACCUUGGGCUGUUAAAAAAUUAUUAUUCACUAUUUGCUGACAUUUCACGGGUACAAAGUUUGAAUAAAUUACUCUAGAAAAAAAAUCAGCAGAUCAAUAAUGAAGUUUGCAGUCAGUUGCAGAUCCUGUGUCUGCAUUGAAUUUAAUAUUUGUAAUUUAUCAUGAUUUUUAAUCAAAAGGCUCAUUCAUUUAUAUACACAUUUAGGAACUAUUACAACACACAUUGCUAUUUAUUUAUUAGUUGUGUGAAAUUAAUAAUGCGAAAACAUUAACACAGCUCAUCUCUAGUAUACGCAUGUUCACUACUGCUGCUCAGUACAUAGAGUACAGUUUGUUCCUCUUCUCCCUGCUUCCAUCUGAGUACGGCUUUCAUGAGGGGCCCUGGAGCUGGCAGCAGCUCGACUGGUGCUAUCAUCUUACAGACAAAGAGGGUUGAGGGGGUGGAAAGGGGAAUAUAGGGACAAGACACAAACACUGAGAGUGCAGCAAGGGGGGUGAAAUAUGCAAAACAAUAGGAAAAAAAAUCAGAAGACACCAAGGUAAGGAGUAGGGAAGAGAGAAGACGAACAGAGAGAGAAGUGGAAUGUGAUAGAGGAGGGACAAAGAGGCAUAAGAGCCUGUCAUUGAAGCUGAUGUGAGAGGAAUGCAGCUGCAGCUUCUAACAUGUAUAAAAAGCAAAGAGGUCAACUUCCUGAAGUCAGCAGCACAUGAACACAGUGCACUCCCCCUUUAACAGACAGAGUAAGAAGCAAAGAAACUAAAGAGCGUGAGGCACAGUGGCCAAUUUACUGAGCCCUUGAAUAGUGGAAAACGAACAACAGAAUUAACCAAUGAAGUGUUGUGGCACUGUUUUCUUUUUGUUACCAGUUACAUAAACUAACCUGGAGAGUAGGUGUAGAACAGAGGUGGAUCUAAACCAAGAUACAGCCCAACAGAUGUAAUAGAUUGUUUUUGAAAGCAUUUGUUCAAGAAAAAGCCAUGACACAGAUAUAUCUGUUUGGACAUUUGAGCCUAUUUGAUAGUCUUUCCUAUUGGUACACCAUAACUGGUUUCAAAUGUUUAGGUCAUUGUCUAACCUUCUUAAGGGCCCUCCAAAGGUCUGUCCUGAUAAUAAUAUGCAUUAUAAAUAUUUACUUAUGUGGGUUUUGUUUUAGGGGAUUGUUCUCUCUUUAGAAAUUGAUUUGAAACAAAUUACUGGAGAAGCCAUACAUUCACACUACACAGGCUAGUAAAUGGACAAACAAUGCACCAUAUAAGCUUUGUAGAGAUUGACUUGAGUGUCUGUGGAUGCAUCUGAACUGUCAACUGAACUGAAUCUUUUCUUUUUUCACUUUUCACGUAUCCUGCUGUUGCUAUGCAACUGCAAAAUCUAUUUGAAGCAUGAUGCUUUGUUGCCCAAAGCCAACAUAUUUUUUCAAAUCAUUUGCAUGAAAGUAAAACACAACAGGCCUUCAGCAACAGACCUUGACUUUGAAAAUGAAAAAAAGAGAAUGCACUAAAGGUGGGUGGUUCAGAUACAGAACAUGAUAUGGAUCUGGCCAUACAGCUGGUUCUGGUAUAAAAUGGAUUUCACCUGUCAAACUACUUCAAGCAUACACAAGCUUUACACUUGCACUAACUGUAUGUUACACUCAUGUACUGUAUUACUACAUUCUAUAGUCUUCUAUAGUGCUGUUUGAAAAUCUGCUCCAGCUGUAUGUACUUUAUACUUUGUGGUGCAUUACAGUACAUAUUUUAAAUCAUAAUUAAAUUUACUAUCUUUUAAACUUAGUUUAAUCUUUUGCAGAUAUACCCAUCUUACAUGUAUUCUCUAGAGCUGAAGUAACCAGUAAAGGCACUUGUUAGGAAGACCUUGCUGUCAUGGCAACAUUCCUAAACACUCCCUAUUCCUCUGGGCUUGUCCGACUGGGAUGACAUCAGUGCAAAAGGCACAUGCCAGUGGCUCUUUCUCAAAUGCAAAACCACUUACUAACAGAGGAGUUGAGGGGAACCCUCUGACUGAAAGAAGGCGGUCUGCUUCUUUCCUGCCGUUACUUCCCUGGUUUCAUUUGAGAUCAAUAUGAAGGACUGGAGCUUGUGUGAAGUGUUAGGAAAAAGGUGCAAUGCACAGGAGUGACUGCGUUGCACAUGUCUGCUUUACUUUGAAAACAGUAUGCACUACAUGAGAUUACAUGUGUAGUGCGAGUGUGUGCAGGGGCAGAUAAGCGUACUUGUCACACGGUCGACUGUCACGUCAACUCUGGGAGGGGUUCGAAGGGGUACCCACACACAAACCAAACAGAAACCGAGGGCAGUGUGCGCAAAUGCACAAGCUUCAGGUUUUGCUUAUGACUCAUUAAUUGAUCUGUCCAUUAUAGAGUCAUCCAUUUGACUUUAAAGUCACCUGUCCACCCACACCCAGAGAACAACCUUCUCCCUCUGUUCCCACACUUCCCCCCUCUCCUUCCUCCACUCCUUCCCAACCAUCAAGUGCUUCAGCAGAUGGCUCUGGGUUCAACAACAACAACAGCAGAGCAUGGUGGGGGCCCUCCUGGAGUGCACACAUACACACCAUGGACAGCAUCUGUUUAUGAAUGGACCGACAAUUGCCCAUCCCCCGACAACUCCAGCUGACAGAGGGAGGGGACACCUUCAGUCACCAAAAGCAAAUGAAGAGAUAAAGAGGACCAAGGCAGUGAAAACAGGGGGAGGUAAAAAAUGGAGAGGAGGACAAUAAAGUUGCAACUCCAAAGAUG